UGGCUCGGCUGGAGCGGUUUCGGCCUGGCGGCGCUGGGAACGGCGCUGAUGACCGUUUCACCGUUCUUUCCCGGCGCCGAACCGA
rnacentral:tRNA from 1 species